GUUUAGCCCUGAUGGGAGCGACAUCUUUUUACACCAGACAGGUGUAAAAAAUACAGCGGACAGCAGGAAUAGGG
rnacentral:sRNA from 1 species